GAUGAACGCUGGCGGCGUGCCUAAUACAUGCAAGUCGAGCGAACAGAUAAGGAGCUUGCUCCUUUGACGUUAGCGGCGGACGGGUGAGUAACACGUGGGUAACCUACCUAUAAGACUGGAAUAACUCCGGGAAACCGGGGCUAAUGCCGGAUAACAUUUAGAACCGCAUGGUUCUAAAGUGAAAGAUGGUUUUACUAUCACUUAUAGAUGGACCCGCGCCGUAUUAGCUAGUUGGUAAGGUAACGGCUUACCAAGGCAACGAUACGUAGCCGACCUGAGAGGGUGAUCGGCCACACUGGAACUGAGACACGGUCCAGACUCCUACGGGAGGCAGCAGUAGGGAAUCUUCCGCAAUGGGCGAAAGCCUGACGGAGCAACGCCGCGUGAGUGAUGAAGGUCUUCGGAUCGUAAAACUCUGUUAUUAGGGAAGAACAAAUGUGUAAGUAACUGUGCACGUCUUGACGGUACCUAAUCAGAAAGCCACGGUUAACUACGUG
rnacentral:rRNA from 1 species